rnacentral:tmRNA from 1 species
GGGACUGUUUUGGUUUCGACAUUUAAUAGUUGUUGGUAUACGUCAGGUCAAAGUUUGUACUCUUUGUAAAAAAGACUAAAUUAUUAAUAAAUGCUAAUAAUAUUAUGCCUUUUAUCUUUAAAAUGGUAAAACCAAAAAAUGGUUCAACUGUUUUAAACUUUGCUGUUUAAUUACAUCAUUUAGAUUAUUAAAUAUUUUUUCACUAUUGCUGGACUUUUCGUUGGUAUAUAGUUUAGAAUAAAUUUAAAUUUUAAAUUUUGUUCAAGUUUUUGGACUAAACCUGUAAACACAUAUAUUAAUAUACGUUAGAUGGACAUGGGUUCAAUUCCCAUCAGUUCCA